rnacentral:lncRNA from 1 species
GAAGUCUCUGGCUCGUUAGAUGCUUUUAUUUUUUUUUUCUUUUUCUGGCCGUCUCCAGUUACUUUUAGCCCGACCGUUCGUUGUCCCACCCUUCUUCCGUGCUGUACUGGCGCCUGGCGGGGUUUGGGCUCGUCCUCCCCCUCCGGGCUGCGGCUGCUCUGGGCGCCGCGGUUAACCGAGAGGACCACGGCGAGGGCGGCUCUGGGCGAGGUGACACGGGAAGUGCACACCAGGUAUGGCACACAACAUCCCGGCCCGGCACAGGGGAAGGCAACAGGAGCUGUUUCCUGGCGUGGGCCACCACCAGGUCCCGCUGGGCCACCACCUGGGCUGCUCUGACUGCGGCACCAGGGGAGAUGCUGCCUCCAGCUGCAGCCCCGUGUCUGAGCCCACCUGGGUAAGUCCCCACUGCCAGGGUGACCCCGAGCUGGCCUGGCCAAGGCUCCCCCAUCCUCACCCCCUGGGCCACGGCCACCUCCCGGCACCCAUCCAGCCCCGUCACACCAUCGCACCCUGUGCCCGUGCCAGGUGCCACGAGCUCCCACGGCGGGUGACCUUGUCCCAUGCGUGCCAGGCAGGGCUGGAAGGGAAGUCAACCCCUGGCUCUUAUCACAGUGAAGUCUGGGAAUAAGUUCAAGGACAAGGGAUAAAAAUAUUGCAACCAAACACAAACCGCACACCACACCCAGGCACCUUUCCCAUCUCCACAGCCCCUGCAGCGCUCCGUGACCACCUCCCAGCCUCGGCUGACUCCAGCUCCCCACGGCGCUCCUGUGACCGCCUCCUGGCGUGGCUGCAUCGUGGAACUGCCUUUCAUCACCUCCAGCACCCCUGAAAAGCGAUGAACAAUGACUUGGCAGAGCUUGCUGAUGCUGCUGGAGUUUCUGGGUGGUUGGGCUACAGUGCUGGCUCUGGUGGCACAGGGAGGGGUGGCAGAGGUGUGGACGAGCUUUCGUGUGAAACCAGUUACUCAGCUGGGAGAGCACCCGGGCUGGGGACGUGGGGAGGGCACAGGAGGAGGCUCCUCACCAUCCCCACCUCCCCUCCCUUCCCCAGUUCCCCCCUCGUGUGCUGGGGAGCGCACAGCAGAGCACACCUGCCCUGCUCUUUCCACACAGGGUGACAGCUGGGAAGCCCAAUGGAACACACCCGGAGGAGGGAAAUCUUUGACUGUUCCUUGGGGCAGGAGUCACACGGUGCAUCCUCCUCUGCUUGUCCCAAACACCAAAUCACCAAAGACAGGAGAAACGGCUCCAUCCUGGUGGCCUCCACGCUCUUGUGGGGAGUGUGACCUCCUGCAGUAUCUGCCUGCCCCUGCUGCUCCCAGGGCUCCAGCUGGGAAUUCUGAGAGGGAGCAGGGCCCGGGCAGUGCAGGCAGCGUGGGCUUGAGCCCUGCCCGUGACUACUGUCCUGAGGCCGUGGGACCCACAGGGCUCCACACCCACACCCAGAGCCCCAGGCUCUGCCUGCCCGGAGCUGCCCUGCACCACAACAACC